CUACGGGAGGCAGCAGUGAGGAAUAUUGCACAAUGGGGGGAACCCUGAUGCAGCAACGCCGCGUGGAGGAUGACGCAUUUCGGUGUGUAAACUCCUUUUAUAUGUCAAGAAAAUGACGGUAGCAUAUGAAUAAGCACCGGCUAACUCCGUGCCAGCAGCCGCGGUAAUACGGAGGGUGCAGGCGUUACUCGGAAUCACUGGGCGUAAAGGACGCGUAGGCGGGCUUGUAAGUCAGGUGUGAAAUCCUACAGCUUAACUGUAGAACUGCACUUGAAACUACGAGCCUAGAGUAUGGGAGGGGCAGAUGGAAUUAGUGGUGUAGGGGUAAAAUCCGUAGAUAUAACUAGGAAUACCUAAAGCGAAGGCGAUCUGCUGGAACAUAACUGACGCUAAGGCGUGAAAGCGUGGGGAGCAAACAGGAUUAGAUACCCCGGUAGUC
rnacentral:rRNA from 1 species